GCCAGGGGUGAUUCCUGAGUGCAUGAGCCAGGAGUGACCCCUGUGCAUUGCUGGGAGUGACCCAGAAAGCAAAAAAAAAAUGCUGAAACUCUUGGGGCUUGAGUGCUAGCACAGUAGUUUGAGAGCAUGCAUUGCUUGCUGAAGGACUAGGUUUUUUCCCUGUUACCACAUGGUUCCCUCAGUGUCCGCCAAAAUAUAAUGCCCAGGGUUGUUAUCAUAUACUGAGUUUGCAUAAGAAAACUGACAAUUUAUACAAAGAAAGCUUUGUAUCAUUGAAUGUAAAACCAAAACAAACCAAAAUGGUAUUUUUAUUCUCAAUAGUCUUAAUUUUUGGGCCUAGAGAUUAACUGUAAAAUUUAAUUUUUCCCUGGAUUUUAUAAAAAUGAAAUAAGGAGUAGGUUCGGUCGAUGUUUCCAAAGUAGAGCAAUAGUUGGCAAAGAAAUCAGGACAUUUGAGCCAGAUGAUUGUUAAAGGAAUUCUGUGGUAAUUUGGUAAUCUCAAAGAAGUUUUUAUGCUACUAAGAUUUAAAAGGAAGAAAACAUUUGUGAUACUGAACAACUUUGCAAUUGUGCAUCUGAUGGUGAUUCACUUUUUUAAAAGGACUUUUCCCCAUGAGCCACAAAAUUCAAAAUAUCCUGAAAGUUUUGAGAGAUUGUUAACUAGCUAGAGUAUAUUAAUAAUUUGCUCUUAUCUUACCUGUGUAAGGAGUUAACGAUAAAACAUUGUUUUGUUUUUGUUAAGGAACAAGUUAGAAUUUUUUAGGAGGGUACCUAGUAGGUUUAAAUUACUCUAGCAUCUGAAACCUGUGCCAUACAGUAACAUAAAAAUGUCAAUUAAGGGGCAGAGCUUGAUAGUACAGCAGGAAGGACAUUUGCCUGGCAUCCCUGGGGAAGGAGUUAUUCCUCAGCACCACCAGGUAUGUCCCUAAGACCAAAAAAUCAAUAAAUAUGUCAAAUAAGAAAUGUAUUAAGGAUGAAGGAGAUGGUAUGCCUUGCACACAUUUAAUCCUCAUUACUUUUCUGGCUCAAUAUGUGGUCCUCAGCAUAGAGCUAGAUGUGACCCAAUAAAACAAAACGAAUCUAUUCUACAUUACUAUGUUCUAAAGAUACUUGGCAAAGGCCAGAGGUGUGAACAUGGGAAAAAUACCUAUUUUACACAUUUAAGUAGUCAACAGGAAAUUUUGUCAUCAGAAACUUUCUUUGUAUGAAUUGUCAGUUUUCUUAUGCAAUCUCAGUGUAUUAGAACAACCCUGAGCUCUUUAUAUUUGAUGCAUCAUUGAGAAUUUCCUGCAGUGUUGAUUGAAAUGUACGGUGCAUUUUUGGUUUUCUCAUGUUUCUAGGUUAUCUAGAUGAAAUGAUUGGGCAUUUUGUGGACAGAUAAAUGAGAGAAAAGCUACAUAUUGAAUGAGAUCAUUGAAAGGUGUAAUUUUGCCUGAGAUAAUUGUUGUAUUCACCUGAUCACUGCAGAGAAUCAAGAGCCAUCAUAAUGUGAAAGGCUAGGACAUAGGUAAAGAUUUGCUAUUGACAGUUUAUAAUUUUUUCUGAUGAGAGAAAUUCAACACCAAUAUCAAGUGGAGAUUGAAUUUCUUGACCUUAAUUACAUUACCUUGGCCUAGAAAAUAGAAAAACUUCCUGAAAAAUAAAAAAUCCUUCCCAUGCAGUAAGCAGCUAAUUAUAUUACUAAGUUCAGUGCAUUUCUGGUUUAGAGGGAUGAAAGAAGCGGUGUCCUGAUAAUUCAGACUUAAUAAAAAACCAUUGAAGUGAAUGAUGAUGAGUUUCACAUAUGCCAAACAUAGUUCUUUACUUGACUAAUAAGGAGCAGAAUGCUAGGGAAUACUGUUUGGAAAGAGCUUUAUAUAUAGAAGUGAACAUUUUGCCACUAGAACCAUGCAUGUUGAGGAAAAACUGGAGGCAUACCUUAUUUGAAUGACUGAUUUCUAAGAAAUAAUAUAGUAGGGUUGAUUUUUGGAUUCUUUGUUACUCUAUUUUAUUGAAAUAAAGCAUAUUAAGGGGCAGGGCCAAAACCAUUUUGUUUGUAGUUGUAAGUUUCAAGUUAGUAAUUGCCCAGUUUGUAAAAGUAGGACCUGUUCUUACAGCCUUUGUUAAAGCAUAGGCUCUUGCUUCACUGUUUAUAUUAAAAAUUAUAAAAUUCUGGAGAAUAGUGUCCUAAUGAGAUGAAUCCCAAAGAACAGAUUUUGUCAAAAUUUUGUGGAAAAUACAAUCCUGAAUUUGUGGAAAAUAUAAUCCUGAAUGUCUGACAAGAAUUCACUUGUUUCGCCUGGAGAGAGAACUGUGGCUUGGGUGGUUCGCCUUGCAUAUGGCUGAUGAGAGUUUAAUUCCCAGGCACUGCAGAUGUUUUAAUGCUUUGCAGGUUGGUUUUUUUUUUUUUUUUUUUUUUUUUUGCUUUUUGGGUCACACCCGGCGAUGCACAGGGGUUACUCCUGGCUCUACACUCAGGAAUUACCCCUGGCGGUGCUCAGGGGACCAUAUGGGAUGCUGGGAAUCAACCCGGGUCGGCCGCGUGCAAGGCAAAUGCCCUACCCGCUGUGCUAUUGCUCCAGCCCCUGCUUUGCAGUUUUUAUUAAGAUUACAAAAGAGCCCUUAAAAAAACUGCAGCUGGUAGUUUUAAGAGGCAAGUUUGUUGUCUUAAGAUGUAUACCUCAUAUUCGGUUAAUAUUCCCCAUUCAACCCCCAUCACCACAUGUGGUAUCCCCCAUAGCACUGGUGGGGAGGCAUGCACAGAAUUAGGAAUAGUCUAUACAACACAGGGUAUGACCCAUAAAACAUGGUUGAGGGAGACAUAAACCUACCUUGAAUUUUCAGGGAGUGUGUUAAGCUUGACAUGAAUAGGUCUUAGGUCUACACUCUACUGCACUGUUUACUAAAAUUUUAUUUUUCUGAAACUUUCGUACUUCAUUGACCAGUAUUGGCAGCCUUUUUGGCAGGUUAAACUUUGGUUUGAGGCUAGCAUAAAUGAAGAAUUUAAUGGCUACAUGCAGCAUGUCUAAUGAUAGUUUAGUGUACUCUUUGAAAAUCUGUAUAGAUACUGCAUACUAAUGCAAACUUAACAAUUGAAUGUCCCAGAUUCUUCAUUUCUUGAGCCCUAUGGUCUUUCAAAUUACAGUAAAAGACUGAUACCAGCACCUCUCAAAUAGAAUAUCCUUUUAACAGUUUUAACAAUUUUCUCUGAUUACCUGAUUACAGAGAGGAAUAAGCCCUGAGCACUAAUAGGUGUGUCCCCACCCAAAUGUUGAAAUGCUGUUUUAGGGACUGGAGUGAUAGUACAGCAGGUAGGGCGUUUGCCUUGCACGAAGCCGACCCAGGUUCGGUUCUCAGCAUCCCAUAUGGUCCCCUGCUAGAAGUAAUUGCUGAGCGGAAAGCCAGGAGUAACCCCUGUGCAUUGCCAGAUGUGAUCCAAAAAAAAAAAAAAAUUGCUGUUUUAUGCAACAUGUUUGGGGUUCACUAUAUUAAAACCCAUUCUGAUUCAACAAACAUUGUCCAAGUGUUCCAUAACCAUCAUAACAAUCCAGUUACUCAGCUGUCUUGAAUCUUUCCUAUGUGACAAAUGGCGCUUGUUUGACUAAAGCAGGUUUGUUAAAGGAGUUAAUGUGAAAGGGGUUUGUCUAUUAUAUAAGCUACAAAAGUAUUUUCUGGUAUGAGUUAAUUACAUAAGUUACAGAAGGUGGUUCAGGAUUGGACCCUGAAGGGGAAAAAAGCUUAAAUUUAGUGAUUUAAGCAUCCAGUUCCAGUCUGGUCUAUGGUAGAAAAUUUAAUUCUUCCCAUUUUUAACAAUUAGGAAUUGUUAGGGCUGUUAAGUGUUGUUCUCACACACUGCCCAUUUCUGUCUUGAGAUUAUUGACUCUUAAAGAGAAGGCCUUCUGUAUAAGUAAACCAAACCAGAGGCUUACAGAAGGGACCCUUUGUUCUCCUCAAGAGCUGGAACCAGCACUAGGUUAUCUCCAAUAUUCCAACUUGGAAUUCUCAAUUGCUGCUUUGUUUUGAUUUUUGGCCACACCCUACAGUGCUCAGGACUUAGUCUUUGCUCUGUACUCAUGAAUUGUUCCUGGUAAUCUUGGGGGAACCAUAAGGGAUUCCAGGGGUUGAAUUCAGGUCAACCGUGUGCAAGGCAAGCAGCCUACCUGCUGUACUAUCUUUGGCCAUGCAAUGCUAGUUUUUUUUCCCCCUCAAGUCCUAUCUGCCCUUUUCCAAGAAUCUUACUCCCCUGGAUGCUGCUGGAGUUGGCAGUUUCUGUGGUCUGUUCGACUUUUUCUAGUUAAGAGCUAUUUGGGGAUUGGACGGAUAAUACAGCAGAUAGGGUCCUUUUCUUCACACAUUUGCUUUGGUGUCGUUUCUGAACCGCAAUGAGUGCAGUUUUAUAUUAACUGAAAUUUCAGGGGCUGAAGCAAGCCAACCUCUGUAGUACAGCAGGUAGGACCUUGCACAGCCCAAUCAGGUUCAAUCUCCAACAUCCCAUAUGUUUCCCCAGCACCACCAGGAAUAAUUCCUUAGUGCACAUCCACCAGUAACUCGGAGCAUUGCAGAUGUGGCCCAAAACAUUUGCCUCUUUGUACAGACCUUGUGUUUUGUCCAAGACUUGAUUCCAUUUUUUUCCACUAGAUGGCAACCUAGCCCACCCAUGUAACCCUCUUUUUUUUUUUUUUUUUUUCUUUUUGCGGCCUUACUGCUAUUAGUAUCCAUAUACCCAAAUUGGUGGUAUGUAACAUUUUGGUGAUGCCAUAUCCCUCUAAUGUUUGUAUUUAGCAGCUUUCAACAGGCAUUAGGCAUAAUUUGGCCAAAUGCCUUUUUCCUAAGAAUGUGUCUAGAUAAUGAAAACAAUUGUUGUGGUGUUGUGGUCAGAGAUAUAGAUGCUGUACCAUUUAUUUUAUUUUGUCAGUAUUAUUAAAGCUCCUGCCUCAGACAGUUAAGUCACUUAAUGAUAGAAAUCUAUUUUAAAUACAGCAAUCAAAGCUCUGCUAAAUUCCUGAUUUACCUACCCUUAGGAUAACAGAAUUUUACUUUGUGUAAAGAACCAGUGCUGGGCAUCGAACUCGCUGCCUUCUUAUACUAGGUAUAUACGCCACAAUUUGCGCUUUCUUCCCAACACCCUCACCUGAAACUCACUGUUUUUCUCUUAUCCACAUGCAGAGUCCACUUUCUUUAUUCCAACCAUGUUGUACAUUUCUUUUGUCCCUUUCAUUUCUCCUCACCCUAAUUAAGUUUCAGUUCAGCACAAGUUUCUCUUACUCCAUUAGACCUCCCUUGCCUUUCCUAAGUAGGCAAGUAGGCUCUUACAGAAUCCUUCAUCAAUUUGUAUAAUUACCUGCUUGAUUUUUCCAUAUGAGUGUAGAAGUAAAUGAAAUCUUACUGCCAGGAACAACAUUAAAAUGUCAUAACAAUGUCUGGAACUUUGCAUGAAAAAAGGAAAAGAAAUUGGUGGUGUGGAAUGGGCUAACCCUGGGUAAAAUCAGUUUGGGGAAAAGAAGGGAUGAUUAGAGAAGCUGACGGAUGGGCUACCUGGAGGUAUGCCAUAUAACCUAUUUAUCAAGGAAAUGCUUCCCGAUAGCUGAAUUUCAGUGGCCCUGCCAGCUUUUCAUGAUUUAUUUCAAAAUCUAACUCUGAAUACAUCCUUGAAAUCUCUUGAAAGGACAUCAUUCAGGAGUACUGUUUUGUCAUUGAUGCAUGUCGUCCUUUACAUGCCACUGUUUUGUGACCAGCUCUCCUGCAAAAAAAUUUUUUUGGAAGGGGGCCACACCCUGAUGUGCUCAAGGGUGCACACCCUGGCUCCUCACUCAGGUAUUAGUCCUGGCAUGGUUUGGGGGACCAUAUUGGGUGCUGUGGGUCAGCCAUACGCAAGGCAAGUGCCCUAUCCACUAUUCUCUGUAACCCCAAUCUGCAUUAGUUUCCAUUUGGGCCCUAAAUGUUCUGUGCUUGAGAACUACUUUUGACUGGAUGCUGGGUAUGUGCUCUGGGAAAGGACGCACGUCAGGCGUUUAACCCAAGGCAUCACAUAUGCAGGACAAGUAUUCAACCACCGAACCACUUCCCUGGCUUACCUUAGUUAAAAUUUUACACCUAUAGGCCUGUUUUCUUUAAGCAAACAAAUUGGAUAAAUGCUACCCUAAUCAGUUGGGACAUUGCCAGCACCCCAUAGCCUUCAUGAUGACUGCAUACUAAGUAGGUAACCAUUACUCUGACUUUCAUAACAAGUGCUGCUUAAACUGUAGAUAAAGUAAUAAUGAGAAGUUUGGCUUUCCCCUAAGGAAGAUAUUAAAAAGAAAAUAGUUUGGAGAGAGUUAUUUGGGAGUGAUUACUAGGUUCUAGAGGUAUUCAAGUAUGGCUGCAGUUUGGGAUAAUACUGGUAUGAACAGUCUUGUGUUUUGAGAGUGCAUGUACAGAUGCUUUUCUAAUGUGGGUAUACUUUUGUAUUCUCACUAGCCGUAAAUGAAAGUUUCAUUUGCUCAUUCUUGCUAACUAACUUUAAUUUUAGAUGUUUUAACAGGUGUGUAGUGGCACCUAUUAAAUCACGGUUUGCUUCUUGGUAAACUUCUUUUAAUUUAAACUUUGAUAUAGAAAUGUGUGUAAAUCAUGUGUACCACUUUUCAUACUAUAAACACAAACAGCAAGAAAUUAAGAAUUGAGAAAUCACCAGCAAUACUGAAGCGCCAUAUAUCCAUACUCUCGUACCAUUAAUCAGUAUAUCAUCUUUGCAAGGGCAUCCGUUGACCUUUUUCUUUGGCUCCUAAAUUUCAAAUAAAUGAAAGUACAUUUAGUCUGUGAGGUCUUUGAUUUAGCAAUGUGUACAACUCAUCUGUUACUGCUUGUAGAUUGCUCAUGCAUACUGUUGUAUAUAAAUAAGUUGCAGUUAAUCCAUUCUGUGAGUAGCCAUUUGAAAUGUUUUCAGUUUUGACAUGAAUAAAGCUGCUAUGCAUCAUU